rnacentral:rRNA from 1 species
AGUGGGGAAUCUUAGACAAUGGGCGCAAGCCUGAUCUAGCCAUGCCGCGUGAGUGAAGAAGGCCUUAGGGUCGUAAAGCUCUUUCGCCAGGGAUGAUAAUGACAGUACCUGGUAAAGAAACCCCGGCUAACUCCGUGCCAGCAGCCGCGGUAAUACGGAGGGGGUUAGCGUUGUUCGGAAUUACUGGGCGUAAAGCGCGCGUAGGCGGGCUGUUAAGUUAGGGGUGAAAUCCCGGGGCUCAACCCCGGAACUGCCUCUAAUACUGGCAGCCUUGAGUUCGAGAGAGGUGAGUGGAAUUCCGAGUGUAGAGGUGAAAUUCGUAGAUAUUCGGAGGAACACCAGUGGCGAAGGCGGCUCACUGGCUCGAUACUGACGCUGAGGUGCGAAAGUGUGGGGAGCAAACAGGAUUAGAUACCCUGGUAGUCCACACCGUAAACGAUGAAUGCCAGACGUCGGGUAGCAUGUUGCUCGGUGUCACACCUAACGGAUUAAGCAUUCCGCCUGGGGAGUACGGUCGCAAGAUUA